rnacentral:rRNA from 1 species
GGGUUGUGAGGUUAAGCGACUAAGCGUACACGGUGGAUGCCCUGGCAGUCAGAGGCGAUGAAGGACGUGCUAAUCUGCGAUAAGCGUCGGUAAGGUGAUAUGAACCGUUAUAACCGGCGAUUUCCGAAUGGGGAAACCCAGUGUGUUUCGACACACUAUCAUUAACUGAAUCCAUAGGUUAAUGAGGCGAACCGGGGGAACUGAAACAUCUAAGUACCCCGAGGAAAAGAAAUCAACCGAGAUUCCCCCAGUAGCGGCGAGCGAACGGGGAGCAGCCCAGAGCCUGAAUCAGUGUGUGUGUUAGUGGAAGCGUCUGGAAAGGCGCGCGAUACAGGGUGACAGCCCCGUACACAAAAAUGCACAUACUGUGAGCUCGAUGAGUAGGGCGGGACACGUGGUAUCCUGUCUGAAUAUGGGGGGACCAUCCUCCAAGGCUAAAUACUCCUGACUGACCGAUAGUGAACCAGUACCGUGAGGGAAAGGCGAAAAGAACCCCGGCGAGGGGAGUGAAAAAGAACCUGAAACCGUGUACGUACAAGCAGUGGGAGCACGCUUCGGCGUGUGACUGCGUACCUUUUGUAUAAUGGGUCAGCGACUUAUAUUCUGUAGCAAGGUUAACCGAAUAGGGGAGCCGAAGGGAAACCGAGUCUUAACUGGGCGUUAAGUUGCAGGGUAUAGACCCGAAACCCGGUGAUCUAGCCAUGGGCAGGUUGAAGGUUGGGUAACACUAACUGGAGGACCGAACCGACUAAUGUUGAAAAAUUAGCGGAUGACUUGUGGCUGGGGGUGAAAGGCCAAUCAAACCGGGAGAUAGCUGGUUCUCCCCGAAAGCUAUUUAGGUAGCGCCUCGUGAAUUCAUCUCCGGGGGUAGAGCACUGUUUCGGCAAGGGGGUCAUCCCGACUUACCAACCCGAUGCAAACUGCGAAUACCGGAGAAUGUUAUCACGGGAGACACACGGCGGGUGCUAACGUCCGUCGUGAAGAGGGAAACAACCCAGACCGCCAGCUAAGGUCCCAAAGUCAUGGUUAAGUGGGAAACGAUGUGGGAAGGCCCAGACAGCCAGGAUGUUGGCUUAGAAGCAGCCAUCAUUUAAAGAAAGCGUAAUAGCUCACUGGUCGAGUCGGCCUGCGCGGAAGAUGUAACGGGGCUAAACCAUGCACCGAAGCUGCGGCAGCGACACUAUGUGUUGUUGGGUAGGGGAGCGUUCUGUAAGCCUGUGAAGGUGUACUGUGAGGUAUGCUGGAGGUAUCAGAAGUGCGAAUGCUGACAUAAGUAACGAUAAAGCGGGUGAAAAGCCCGCUCGCCGGAAGACCAAGGGUUCCUGUCCAACGUUAAUCGGGGCAGGGUGAGUCGACCCCUAAGGCGAGGCCGAAAGGCGUAGUCGAUGGGAAACAGGUUAAUAUUCCUGUACUUGGUGUUACUGCGAAGGGGGGACGGAGAAGGCUAUGUUGGCCGGGCGACGGUUGUCCCGGUUUAAGCGUGUAGGCUGGUUUUCCAGGCAAAUCCGGAAAAUCAAGGCUGAGGCGUGAUGACGAGGCACUACGGUGCUGAAGCAACAAAUGCCCUGCUUCCAGGAAAAG